rnacentral:rRNA from 1 species
GACGAACGCUGGCGGCGUGCUUAACACAUGCAAGUCGAACGGAAAGGCCCUGCUUGCAGGGUACUCGAGUGGCGAACGGGUGAGUAACACGUGGGUGAUCUGCCCUGCACUUCGGGAUAAGCCUGGGAAACUGGGUCUAAUACCGGAUAGGAGCCAUUUUUAGUGUGAUGGUUGGAAAGUUUUUUCGGUGUAGGAUGAGCUCGCGGCCUAUCAGCUUGUUGGUGGGGUAAUGGCCUACCAAGGCGGCGACGGGUAGCCGGCCUGAGAGGGUGGACAGCCACAUUGGGACUGAGAUACGGCCCAGACUCCUACGGGAGGCAGCAGUGGGGAAUAUUGCACAAUGGGCGCAAGCCUGAUGCAGCGACGCCGCGUGGGGGAUGACGGCCUUCGGGUUGUAAACUCCUUUCGCUAGGGACGAAGCUUUUUGUGACGGUACCUAGAUAAGAAGCACCGGCUAACUACGUG